rnacentral:rRNA from 1 species
UACGUAGGGUGCGAGCGUUAAUCGGAAUUACUGGGCGUAAAGCGUGCGCAGGCGGUUUUGUAAGCCGGAUGUGAAAUCCCCGGGCUUAACCUGGGAACUGCAUUUGUGACUGCAUAGCUAGAGUACGGUAGAGGGGGAUGGAAUUCCGCGUGUAGCAGUGAAAUGCGUAGAUAUGCGGAGGAACACCGAUGGCGAAGGCAAUCCCCUGGACCUGUACUGACGCUCAUGCACGAAAGCGUGGGGAGCAAACAGG